UACGAAGGGGGCUAGCGUUGCUCGGAUUGACUGGGCGUAAAGGGCGCGUAGGCGGAUAGUACAGUCAGGCGUGAAAUUCCUGGGCUCAACCUGGGGGCUGCGUUUGAGACGGGCAUUCUUGAGUAUGGAAGAGGGUCGUGGAAUUCCCAGUGUAGAGGUGAAAUUCGUAGAUAUUGGGAAGAACACCGGUGGCGAAGGCGGCGACCUGGUCCAUGACUGACGCUGAGGCGCGAAAGCGUGGGGAGCAAACAGG
rnacentral:rRNA from 1 species